GAUGAACGCUGGCGGCGUGCCUAAUACAUGCAAGUCGAGCGAACGGACGAGAAGCUUGCUUCUCUGAUGUUAGCGGCGGACGGGUGAGUAACACGUGGAUAACCUACCUCUAAGACUGGGAUAACUUCGGGAAACCGGAGCUAAUACCGGAUAAUAUUUUGAACCGCAUGGUUCAAAAGUGAAAGACGGUCUUGCUGUCACUUAUAGAUGGAUCCGCGCUGCAUUAGCUAGUUGGUAAGGUAACGGCAUACCAAGGCAACGAUGCAUAGCCGACCUGAGAGGGUGAUCGGCCACACUGGAACUGAGACACGGUCCAGACUCCUACGGGAGGCAGCAGUAGGGAAUCUUCCGCAAUGGGCGAAAGCCUGACGGAGCAACGCCGCGUGAGUGAUGAAGGUCUUCGGAUCGUAAAACUCUGUUAUUAGGGAAGAACAUAUGUGUAAGUAACUGUGCACAUCUUGACGGUACCUAAUCAGAAAGCCACGGCUAACUACGUG
rnacentral:rRNA from 1 species